rnacentral:rRNA from 1 species
AGUAACGCGUGGGCAACCUACCUCAUACAGGGGGAUAGCAUCGGGAAACUGGUGGUAAAACCGCAUAAGCGCACGAAGACGCAUGUAUUCGUGUGAAAAGGAGAAAUCUGGUAUGAGAUGGACCCGCGUCUGAUUAGCUAGUUGGAGUGGUAAAAGCACACCAAGGCGACGAUCAGUAGCCGGCCUGAGAGGGUGGACGGCCACAUUGGGACUGAGACACGGCCCAGACUCCUACGGAAGGCAGCAG